ACGGAAGGCAGCAGUGGGGAAUAUUGGGCAAUGGGGGAAACCCUGACCUAGCAACGCCGCGUGAAGGAAGAAGGCCUUCGGGUUGUAAACUUCUUUUGUCAGGGACGAAGGACGUGACGGUACCUGACGAAUAAGCAACGGCUAACUACGUGCCAGCAGCCGCGGUAAUACGUAGGUUGCAAGCGUUGUCCGGAUUUACUGGGUGUAAAGGGCGUGUAGGCGGAUUUGCAAGUCAGAUGUGAAAUCCCGGGGCUAAACCCCGGAACUGCAUUUGAAACUGUAGACCUUGAGUAUCGGAGAGGCAAGCGGAAUUCCUAGUGUAGCGGUGAAAUGCGUAGAUAUUAGGAGGAACACCAGUGGCGAAGGCGGCUUGCUGGACGACAACUGACGCUGAGGCGCGAAAGCGUGGGGAGCAAACAGGAUUAGAUACCCUGGUA
rnacentral:rRNA from 1 species